AAACUCAAAGGAAUUGACGGGGGCGCCGCACAAAGUGGUGGGAGCAUGUGGUUUAAUUCGAUGAUACGCGAAGAACCUUACCUAGGCUAGAAUGCGCGUGACCGGCUCAGAGAUGAGCCUUUCCUUCGGGGACACAAAGCAAGGUGCUGCAUGGCCGUCGUCAGCUCGUGCCGUGAGGUGUUGGGGUUAAGUCCCCGCAACGAGCGCAACCCCUAUGUUUAGUUGCCAGCAUGUAAUGAUGGGGACUCUAGACAGGCUGCCUGCGCAAGCAGUGAGGAAGGCGGGGACGACGUCAGGUCAUCAUGGCCCUUACGCCUAGGGCGACACACGUGCUACAAUGGACGGUACAGCGGGUAGCUACUGGGCGACCAGAUGCCAAUCUCGAAAAGCCGUUCUCAGUUCGGAUUGGAGUCUGCAACUCGACUCCAUGAAGCUGGAAUCACUAGUAAUCGCGCAUCAGCCAUGGCGCGGUGAAUACGUUCCCGGGCCUUGUACACACCGCCCGUCAAGCCAUGAAAGUCUGGUAGACCUGAAGCUGGUGCUCCGCAACGAAGCCAGUUAGGGUAGAACAGGUAAUUAGGGCUAAGUCGUAACAAGGUAGCCGUACCGGAAGGUGCGGCUGGAUCACC
rnacentral:rRNA from 1 species